CAGUAGCCGCGGUAAUACAUAGGAUGCAAGCGUUAUCCAGAAUGAUUGGGCGUAAAGCAUCUUUAAGUGGCUUUUCAAGUCCGCCAUUAAAUCCCAAGGCUCAACCCUAGACAGGCGGUGGAAACUACCAAGGUGGAGUACGAUAGGGGCAGAGGGAAUUUCUGGUGGAGUGGUGAAAUGUGUUGAGAUCGGAAAGAACACCAGUGGCGAAGGCGACUCUCUGGCCUGUAACUGACGCUGAGGAGCGAAAGCGUGGGGAGCGAACAGGAUUAGAUACCCCCGUAGUCCCUGUCUCUUAUAC
rnacentral:rRNA from 1 species